rnacentral:lncRNA from 1 species
CCUGAGUCCCUGCUAACUCGGACAGAGGAACCCCUGGAAGUCCCUGACCGUCACACCUGGGCCCCGCAGAGUGCUGGGCUCAUUGGCACGUCACACUUAGAUGACAGGGGUAGCCGUGCCUUCUUGGCAGGCAGGACUCUAGCCAACAGGUAAGACCUUUCCAGGCUGGGAGUAAACAUAGGCCGCCUUUCCAGAUCAGGUGAGCAUCGCCACCUGGCAGGGAGGAGGCACGGAUUCGUUGCAGGAGAAAGAACUUGAGCUUGGGGCAGGAGGAAAAAUGAGAACUUGAGUUCAAGGGCUGCCACUGCCGCCAUGAAAUGAAGUAUCUGACUGGGACUUUUUGCUUUUACAUCAGGGAAAGCUGCUUUAAGGCAAUCCUGUUUCCUAUGUCUUUCAUGUUCCACUGUCCUGUGAUCUGGGGACAGAGUAGGGGAACAAGAUUGAGCUGAUCUCUGACUUUCUGGAGCUACACUGGAGUUGGGGAGAUGGACGGAUGGUACACCAUGGACCGAGCAGAGAGAAAGAUUGCUCCGAAGGAAACCAAAAAGAGUGGGAAGAUCAGGACUGGCCUAUUUUGGAUCCGGAGGUAAUGGGACGUCUUCCUGAGGAGAGGAUGCUUUAAACCGAGUCAGGAAUGAAGAGAAGGGGCCCGCAGGUGAGUAGUAGCUGGCAGAAGGGGGAUCCAGGAGGUGGGACUCGAGCUCAGCCUGUUGGCUGUGUGUCUGGAGAGCAGCAAGUGUGGGGAGCUGGUCAGGAUGAGGUUUGAGAGGCCAGCAGGUAUCAGGUCACGCCUGGUCCUAUAUGUGGGCCAUAUCUGGAUGUUUGAUUUUAUCCUCAGUACAAAGGCAAGGUCAAGUGUGCUUAGAAAUCUGACAUAAUAAUGCAACAUUAAGUUUCAACUCGGCAUGUGUAAAGAUUUGCUGAGUGACUGCAAAAUAAAUAAACGGAUUGAUGCUCCAGGGUCAGAAAAUGUCUUUUAUUUUAUUUUAUUUUAUUUUAUUUUAUUUUAUUUUAUUUUAUUUUAUUAUUUUUUAUUUUAUCUAUUCUAUUCUAUUCUAUUUUAUAUUUUAUUUUUUUUCUAUUUUAUUUUAUUUUUAAGCUAUGGUUUUGACUUCUGUUACAUGAAAAAUCACUCCCAUUUAGAUUUAUUUCCUCCAGAUGAGGAAACCAUCCCAGCGAAGUGACAAAAGACAGGGCCAUAUCCCUGUGAAACCAGCAGGCACCCGGGAGCUAGCAGGAGGGAGAGAACAAACACGGGCUUUGAGGUCAGGUAGAUAUGGUUUCCAGACCAGCUCUGCACUUACUGAUGUGGGGCUUUGGAAUAGACACCCUGUAGGUUCUCUGUGAGGCCAUUUUCCAUCUUUAAAAUGGACGUAAUACCAUUUACCUCCUAAUAUAUUGGUGUGGACUCAAAGGGGAGAAUUUAAACAUCUGGCACACAAAAGACACUCAAGAAAUACUGAUUUCUAUGUUCCUUCAUCCCCCCACAUUUGACCAAGCCUUCCCCAAAUAGAACAUCCUUUAGAGUCUUACCCAUUUUUUGUUGUCACUGAUGGGACAUCCGAAAGGAUGUGAGGGUUUUUUUUUUUUUUUUUCUUGUUUGUUUGUUUGGUUUGUGGUAAGCUGACUUUGCACUUUAAAAGGGAAAAGAAGGAAAUCUGUAGUACCUCCAACAAUGAGCCUUUUUAAAGCCUGCAUUGGACUCCAAUUUCAAAGAAUAUUCUUAUUAACAUACUUUCUUAUAAAUGGAGCGCUGCUCAUCAAAUAUUUAUAAGUAGUAGCCCGAGAAGCCAGCACAGUGCUUGGCAAGCCUGGGGACAUUUCCCACGUGCGCUGUGGGAUGGCGUAGGCAGGGGAGAUCCUUUAAUUUUGUGACAUGGUUUGGGGGCUCCAGCGUGAGCUAGUCUUGGCAAGGUUUCUCCCUGCUCUUGGCCUGUUCUGGAGCCUUUCAGGACUCCCACGUAGACCGUCCUUGCAGGCAACUCCCUUUGAAGUCCCCGGGAGCUCUUUGAAUGGAAAACAUACACAACGGGGUGUUGAUGCAAGGAAGCAUCAGACCUGAUAUACGUGGAGAAUAAAGGUGCUUCUCACCCCAAAUAUUAGCUCUUUAGCCCAGAAACUAUGGUUUGAUCAUUAAAUAAAAAGGCCACCCCCUCCCCCCCAAAACCCACAAUCUACCACCAAAGCACCACCAUCCACUCACUCAGGAAACGAUAAACCUGCUAAUUACCAGAGAGUUUUAAUUAAGCAACAGAUAUAGACAGUGCAGGGCUCUGUUUUUACUUUAGGCAUAUCAAUAAAAUAAAAUUCCCAAUUCCAGGGAAACUUGCUAAAUGAAAAAAAAAAUAAACAUUACUGUCUUUUGAGAUAUCACUCAUCGAGUGCGAUAAUUUAGAAAAAUAUCUCUAUUAGAGAUAGUUAGAGAUAUUUUUUGGUUGCAAAUGCAGUCGCCGGUACAGCACCAAGCUGCAAUUCGCAGACAGGUUAAGUAAAUUAAAUCACUCACUGUCUUUUUUUUUUCCAAUGGCUUUAAAAGUUAAAGGUAAUUUGCAAAGAAAAUGCUCCGUUUGAAUUGGUUUGUAAUAUCUGUUAAUGAUCUUUAAAAAAAUCCACUUAUUCACAAUCCUGUCCCUGAGGGAAUUCCAACGUGCUAUCAGAAAAAUUUCUUAAGUCUGAAAUGUCAUUAGCUAGUGAUUUCUUUGAAGUAAAAAGCCCUGAAAAAAUAAAUUAUAUAAGGUAUACAAGUGCGCAGGACAAUCACUUUGAUGAAUAAUAUCUGUGUUUUUCGUACCUAAAAAUGCAACAAUUGAAAUCCAAGCUGCUAAAUUAUAGAGCUGUCUUCUGAAUUACCUCGGUGUAGGUAUGCCUGUUCUGUUUAUUUCACACGUAUAUUGAGUUCUUCCAUAUAUUUAUAGAUUGUUGAUGUGAAAACAGUAGUGUUGGGCCAAUUUUGAUUAUGUUCAUUGUGUUUACCUUUUGGAAACGCAAGGUGUUGCCUAAAUACAGCUCUACAGGUGUUGCCAUCCAGAAUUAAAACAAUAGGCUGUUUCCACGCAGUAUCGUGGAUCCCAGGGCCAGGCGCCCCAAACGGGGGUGCAAAUACCUUCGCAGGCCCGCGAAUUGUCCAAUAUUCAAUAACAGAGCUGUGAAAUACUACACCAAAGGGGAAAUUUUCUUCCUGACCCCAGCUGGCUAUCGGUUUUUGCCUGGAAGCAGGGGAGUCUUUGUAAUACAAUAUUAGGCAGUGUAACUGCGGAUGCUGGUUUGGCUGCUAUAAAUAGCUAAUCUUUGUGUUUUUUUUUUGAAGGAGGAGUGGGAUUUUCUUAAAACCAUUGGCUGCAGGUUAAUUACACAUUUCAUAAGAACACAUUUCCUUGUAGCCAGCCUAAAUUUGUUACCUUUUAAUCCUGCUUUAUAUAAGGCUAGAAUUGUAUGAGCCUCCAGGAGCACCUUCAUUAAGUCUUUAUUUUCUACGUUGGACCUUUAACUUUUUUUUUUUCUUCUUUUUACACAUCACUUACCUCUUAGCUAAACUGCGAAGGGACCCAGUUUUAUUCAUUUUCCCUCAAGGAGAAGGCAUUCUCUCCUUCCUAGUCCAGCUAGGUGUGAUUCUUAUUUUCUGCUCUGUAACUGACAUCUGGAGAAUACACUGACCAUAGGUAAGAACAAGCCACUGAUUGAUUUUAAUAAAGAUGUUCGAUAAUAUUUAGUGCUUCCAUUUACUUCACUGAAGGAAUGGAAAUCAAUAUUUGAAAUGUUUUGGGGAAGUUUUCUUGGGGUUCCAUGUAUGGAAGAUUACACAGAGCAGGAACAUGGGACCCAAUAUGCUAUCCUGGAGAGAACACAUCCCGUAAUUACCUUGCAGGACAAGAAAGAGAAUAUACAGCCACCGUGUCCGAUGGCCUCUAGGAUGGGACUCCCCUUUCCUGCUUAAAGAUAACCGCUCUUCUGAUGUCUAACACCACAGAUUUGUGUUUUGUUUUUGUUUUUCAACUUCAGGUGUAUUUAUGGGCUGUAUCUGUGUUGCUGGGUGCAAUCCUAUUUUCCUUGUUUCAUUUCCUUCGAUUGUAUUAAUACCCAUUUCAGCCUUGAUGAUCAUUUUGGUUGUUUUCCGUUUUUGGCUCUCUCAGAGAGUGCUACUGUAAGCUUCUUCAUGCACGUCUUUGAUGGGUGUGCGUGUGUUUUCUUUGGGUAGAUAGACUAAGGGGGAAGUUACUAAGUAGUAGGGCAUGACUGUGCUCAGCUUUAAUGAUGUCCAUUUUCCAAAGAGGUUGUAUCAGUUUCCACUCCCACCAGCAGUGGGCGAGAGAUCCGCUGCUCUAAUCCUUAUUAACAUUUGGUAUUCUUCCUCUUUUUGAUUUUGAUCAUUCUGGUGGUAUGUACUUGAAUCUCAUUAUGGUUUUAAUUUCAUUUCCCAGAUUAUUAAUAAGUUGAGUAUCUUUUCAUGUACACUGGCCAUUUGGAUAUUUUGUGAAUGGGCUUUUCAAGGGUCUUGGUAAUUUUUCCAUUGCAAUGUUCAUCUUUUCUUUUUUUUUUUCAGUGUUUAUUUUUGAGAGAGAGACACAGAGUGUGAGUUGUGGGGGGGGUGCAGGGAGAGAGGGAAACACAGAAUCUGAAGCAGGCUCCGGACUCUGAGCUGUCAGCACAGAGCCAGAGACGCUGGGCUAGAACUCAUGAACCAAAAGAUAAUAACCUGAGCCAAAGUCAGACACUUAACUGACUGAGCCACCCAGGUGUCCUGUGUUUUUCAUCUUUUCUUACUGUUUUGUAGGAGAUACUUAUAUAUUCUGGAUGUGAUGCUUUUUUAUUCAUAUAUAUUGCAAAUAUACCACCCUGAGUUUGAUUUUUCACUCUUUUUAUGGUAUCUUUGGAUGGAUAGAAGAUUUUAAUUUUAAUGUAGUUUAAUUUUUGCAAUAUUUUCCUUUAUAGUUAGUGCUGUCUAUGUCUUAUUUAAGAGAGCUUUGUUUAUCUGAAGGCCAUGAAAAUAUCCUUUUAUACUGUCUUCUGGAAGCUUUAUUGUUUUACCUUCCACGUUUAGAUUUAUAAUCCACAUGGCAUUGAUUUUGGCCUAUGGCGUGAGGUUGGGAUCAAAUUUGUUUUUUCCUCCAUGAUAUCUACUUACUCUGUACCAUUAAUGAAAAAGACUUCGUUGCCCAGUACACUGAAGCAAUCUGUUUGUCAUAAAUUAAGUACUCACUUAUUUAUAGAAUGAUCAUAUGAUUUCCUCCUCCCCCCUUUAUUCUUUUAGAAUGUGAAUUAUUUAAUAAAUUUUUGAAUGUUAAUCCCAUUUUACAUUUCUGGACUAAACCCAAUGUACUUAUGAUAUAUUAUUUAUUUGAAGUAUUGCAGCGUGUUUUGAUAAUUUUUCCAACAAUGAGUAUGCCUGAAAUUUACCUGUUAUUUUCCUUUACCGUAAUACCCUUGUCAGGUGCAUUAUCGAGGUUUAGCUGGCUCAUAAAAUGAGUUGGAGAGGCGUCCUCUGUAUAUUAUUUAACAAAAUUAAAACAUAAAUAAGACUAAUCUAAUAUAGUUAUUUAAAAUAUAUGUAGUUUGUCUUAAGUAUAUCAUUAGGUUCUCCAGAGAAACAGAGCCAGUGUGUGUGUGUGUGUGUGUGUGUGUGUGUGUGUGUGUGUGUUUAUUAUAGGAAUUGUCAGCACAGUUACAGAGGCCAAGAAGUCCCACAAUCUACUGUCUGCAAGCUGGAGAGCCAGGAAAGCUGAUCAUGUAACUCAGCCCAAGUCUGAAGGCCUGAGAAUCACAGGGAUGUGUGUGGAGGGCAAUUGUGUAAGUUCUCGUUGAUUCUGAAGGCUUAAGAACCAGAAGCUCUGAUGCCCAAGGGCAGGAGAAGGUGGAUGUCCCAGCUGAGGCAAGGAGAAAAUUCACCCUUCCUCUGCCUUUCUGUUCUGUUCAGGCCCUCAGUGGAUUGGAUGAUGCCUACUGGUGAGGGUGACCUUCUAUACUCAUCUACUGGUUGAAACGCUAGUCUCUUCCAGAAACAUCCUCACAGACACAUCCAGAAGUAAUGUUUUACCAGGUAUCUGGGCAUCUCUUAGCCAUGUCAAGUUCAUGCAUAAAAAUAACCAGCACAGUAAGUAUUCACCACAAUGUUCUUUCAUUCCAGGCUUCUGUAGAUGUUAACUUAGACAUGCGGCAGGAGACUGGUUUUGUGUGAGUUUGUUUGGGGAAGAAAAUGGAGGUUCCACUAUCUUCUGGGAGUUUUCCGUGGGCACUGACAGCCUGCUCGUGUGCCCAGGGCCGAAAUCUGUUAUUCCAUCUCAAUCCUAGAACCCACGAUCACAGCUCAUCCUGGGUUUAAAGGAGGGCCUAUGAGAUGAGAAGCUUUUUGGACAUAUGACCAACAUUCAGAUAAAACACCUGCUCCCACCGAGGACCUUCAAAGCCAAUUUCAUCUGCUUUUGGCCCCUUCAGGUACUGUUCCAUGGAGGUUUUUUUUUUUUUAAUUUUAAUCUCCUUCAAAACUGUAUAUCUCAUACCUGACCCCAUCUCUCCAUUCCUACUUGCUAUUGUCCAAGUUCAAGGCCUUAUCAACUCUUGCUUGGACUAUAUGGCACUUGUGGGGCACCUAGUGUCCAUUUCAUCCCCUUUCCAGCCGUCCAAGUGCUCACUCUAAAAUGGGCAGCUGGCCUGUAAGUCCAUGUUGAAAACUGCUCCGUGGCUCUCCAUUGCUCUAUGAGGGGAAGUCCGGGCUCAUGAACACGGCACACGACUUCUCCUAUGACCUGGCUCUUGCUUGCCUCUCCAGCAGCUCUCUUCUCCUCUUCAGUCUUUGCCUCACACUCCGGCAGCUCUGUCUGCUGCAGUUCCCAGUGUUCCCCCAGGGUUCUUUGUGUCCCAGCUUUUGUGUAUGCUGAUCUUGCCCCAGGGGAUGGACUGUCUGUGUCUUUUGCCCGGGCAGUCCAUUCUUUAACAAUCAACCCAGGCCAGAGACCCUUGAUCCCACCCAGCUGGAGCUGCAUGGUCUCCUUUUCAUCCAUGCCUCUGUCUCUGAUUAGACUCUGAACUUCCUGAAGGCUGGGUCCAGAUUUUAGUUAUUCCUACAUCUAUAACUCACUAUGUGUUGGAUGAUAGCAGGUGUUCAAUAAACACAUAAUAGACUUAAACAGAAGGAACAGUGCUUACUAGUUGACUGGUUUGAGUUUCAUUCCGUCUCUUUUUGGAAGCCCCAGAUGGAAUGAAAUGGUCCAAGUGCCAUGACUAGAAGGGAGGCAGGAAGGCAAAGGUUAUGGAAAAUCUGCAGAUAUCAAUCUCUUCCUGAAUGACUGAUUGCGGUUCAUCUGAUUAAGACUCUUAUGAUGGAAUUCGCUUUUUCUAGAAUGGACUAGUAACAAGGAUUUUCUAUAAAGAUAGAUUUUUCCAGAGAAACAAAUUUGAACACUUUCCUCCAAGAACUUAAAUGAAAAAAAAAAUAAUCCUACUUGAAAGGCAAAUUGACCAAUGUCCUUCCCCUUUUCUCUUAUUAAUAAAAGAGUUUACACAGAAACUCUAUAAGAAAUUGUGUAAGAGAUUCACAAGGAUCAUUAAAGUCUCUACUAGACAUUCACUUUCACUUUGCAAAAUUGGCUAUACCCUCAAAAUGGUAUCACGUAAAAAUGGACUUUCUGGGGCUCUUAUAUAUGAAUGGGUUUUAGUUGCACAGUGGGGCCAUUCAUUUUAUUUGGCCCAUUUAUUGCAAGUACAUUCUAAAUUUGGCCUUAAUUAUUUUUCCUUUCACAAAAAUAUUUUGUGGGAUCUUUUUGAACCCUGACUACUUCCUUCUUGCCCCUUAAAACAGAAUCCAGGAGUGUUAUUUUUGUUCUCUUCUAAUUAAAAUAAUUGCUUGGUUCCUUUUAACUAGAUUCAUGCAGUUAUUAGCCUAAUACAUGGAUGGGUGCCAUGGGGUGCUUGAGAAACAAAAUGAAAAGUGAUCAUGUAGCUUCACAUGAAAAAGAUUCUGUGGUGCCAAGGAGUAUUAUUCCUUUCAGCCGGCAUCUUAUAAGGGCCUUUAGUAAACCUUGUCCCCCACCCCCCAGACCCUUACUAAAAGACUAUUAAGUGAAAGAAUGCUUCUAUUUUCUCUAUUAGGUAGACAGUGAACUCGGUACAAUUUGAAGAGGGGCACUUGAUAUGCCGGGUAUGGCACAAAGACUGGGGGUCUGGUUUUAAUCUCUGCCCCUGCUUUGUCUUACAGAGUAGCUGCAAUUGAAGGAUAAAUGCUCCAUGCCAGUUGGUGUUUGUUCAGAGGACACUGGAAGAAGAGGGACAAAGGUGGCUUGGAUGUAUGUGUUCAUCAAGGGUUGUCAGGACCCCAUUUCUAAAAGGAGGUUUUAAAAUAACGUUUUUGACAUCGAGAUGGUUCUGGAAGUUGAUGUCGUCCAACAGUUUGGCAAACGAAGGAAGGAGGCCUGUGGGCUAAAGCUGACGUGUUGCCUGUCUUUUGUAAAUAAAGAUUUAUUGAAACACAGGCACGCCCAUUUGUUGACGGAUUGCCUGCUGCUGCUUUUGCACUAGAACACGGAGUAGUAGCGACAGUGACCACAUGGCCUACAGAACCGAAAGGAUUGACUGUGGUUCUUUACAGAAAAAGGGUGCUGGCUCUUGAUGUAGUCUAUCCAAUUCGCUGAGUAUCUUCUAAAUAGCUACUCCAUGCUGAAAAAUGUAUUCAUAGGCAUUCGGAUAGCAGCUCUCAUCUGAUGAAAUGCUGAGGGCCUUUGGGAAUGUGCUGAUGUAACGGGUGUUCAGUACUUGGCGUAUGGACAGCAGGAAGUGACGCAGAUUUGGGGCUGGAAGUCAUGGUUGAGAAAAGACUGUCAUUAUUGUCUCAGUGGCAAGUCACCGAUCACGGCUGGGCUCUUCCUUUGUCUGCUACAUGAAGGAGAAGGUGCUGAAACUUCUGGCUUGGAGUUCACUUUUAUUAACUACUUCAAGACCUUAUGGAGGUCAACAUUAUGGAGGUCUGCCUCCAGGCCAAAAGUUGGGCACCCCUUGCCACUAAUGGGUCAUUGAGUGGGUCAAGUGAGAGAAUGUGAGUCUCUAAACCGUAAGAUGCUGUAUUUGUGACAUAUGAAAACAGCAGGGUAAGUGUUAUUGCUGUUUGGCUUGUGAAGACGCAAGACAGAUAGCCUACCCCAGGUCAAGUGCUAAGCCAUUAGAGGAGCUGGAAGCUAGGUUUCCUGAUUUAAGUCACCAUUCUUUACAGCAUACCAUAUGCUGUUUUAAAAAUUUUACUUUAUUUGAGAGACAGAGAAAGUGCAAGUCGGGGAGGGGCGGAGAGAGAGGGAGAGAGAGAGAGAACCUCAGGCAGGUUCCUCAAAUCAGUGUGGAGCCCAACUCACAGCUUGAACCCACGAACCGUGAGAUCAUGACCUGAGCCGAAGUUGGACGCUUAACUGACUGAGCCUCCCAGACGCCCCCACCAUAUGCUUCUUUACAGCAUGUUUCUUUCCAUGGCUUCAGAAAGGCUCAGUUCUUUCGUUCAUUCAUUCAUUCAUUCAUUCAUUCACUCAUUCACUACUGAAUAUUAUUUAAAAGCCUGCUAUGAAUGGAAAAGGAGCUGAAUUUUUCAGGGAGAGUGAGGACUAUGUAAAGAAAAGUUGGAAGACUCUUAGAAUGAUUUUGUUCUUGAAUCGUGAUGAGAAUCCUCCAGAAGGAUACAGAUUCUUCUCUCGAUUUCCUCUGUCCUGCCCAACGGGCUGGCCCUUAGUUGAGAUAUGGAGAACAAAAGAGUAGAUGGGUUGGAAAAGGAAGAGCAAUCCUGUCAUUCAACAGCCUGACAUGUUCUUUUAUGGUGUGUGUGCGUGCGUGCAUGCGUGUGUGUGUGUGUACUAUUUAUGUGUGUGUAUAUACCAUGAAAGCAAAGAGAGAGAUGCUGAAAUGUUGAUAGCAGAUUGUACCAGCAACUAACGGUUGCAGACCGUCUAGGUUUGGAAGAUUUGCAAGUUAACAUUUUGUGUAUAAAGUCCAAGGGCCUCCAGAUCAGAGGAAUUUUCAAAUACGAAUUGUCCAAUUAAGUGACAUAAAUUAAACAUGCCAGAUGUGGACUUAUUUUACCACACUGUUUAAAUACAGCCUUCAUUCAGAUUGUAUUCAUUCAAUGAUGUGUCCUGUAAUUUUUGAAAUGAUGAUUAUCAAAUGUGCCCAGAGGAAGCAGCUUCCACCAAAAUACUAAGUUUGCCUUGUCAUGGUCAGAGAAGUGAAAGUUUCUGUUUUUUUUUUUUUUUUUUUUGAAAGUUUCUGUUUUUGAUACUUGCUAUUUUAACAGGGAAAUUUGCCAAUAUUUUCUUAAUAUCCAGUGUUGUGGGCUACUUGUAUUUUGUUUUUUUUUUCCAGGUUGAUCUGCGAGCCUAAGUCUAUGGUUCUCUGAAGCAAAGGUGCCAGUGAAGUUGCCUCAUAAAAAAAAAAAACAAAAAACCUUCCAGAAUCUUCCAUUGGAGAAUUGUCACCUGCAAAGACCUCUGAGAGGUACAGUAGAAAAUUCUGCCUUAUUCUCCUCCACCUCCCAUCCCAUAAGUCAGUCACAGCCCUGACAACUGAAUUUGGGGGGGUUGGUAGUAUCUGCUUCUGUAAUUCAUUAACGAAACCAUGUUACUUCUCAGAUGGUCCCAGGACCCAGGCUGCUGCUAUUUUAAGAAACGUAAUUUGGUUCAGCACACAAAAAACAUAUUCAUAGCAGGUCUUAGUAGUGAUACAGGUAACACUUUUCAGAUAACUGUGAGAAAUUUGUAAGCAUUAACUAAUUUAUUUAACUUCCCUGUAAUUGAGUGAAUUUUCUUCCAUUUGCGGCGGGAAAGCCCUUCCUUUUCUAAUUCUAAUCUUUUAGCAGGUGUUCUCCUGAAUAAUUGUCAUUAGGGUGGAAAUGUUUUGUAGAGGGGAAAUAAAUCUUUCAACACAGUGUAAAAUCCCACCAGAAUAGAUGACCUCCAUUUCCUCAGUGUAUAGCCUAUUUUUAAGUGAUUAAACAAUGCUCUGGAAAAAAGUCACAUUUCCUUGAAAACCAUAGGAACCGUUCUCAUAUUACUAUAGCCGCUGUCACUACCACUAAUGUGUGCCAUGUUCCUGAUGGUUUACACGUAUUACUUUGAGUUCCCCAGGAAGGAGAACUUGAGGAAGAAUUUCAUGUGCUGUGUCUUUAGUGGAGAGGUCAGUCCCAGAAUGGGAUGGGUUUGGGAGAAUGGUGGUGAGGCUGAGACGAAAGGAGCAGAUACAAGGGUGUGUUAUUGAUGUGGUCCCAACUUGGUGUGUGGCGUAACUGAUUGCUCAGUCCUUGGGAAGGUGGUAGGCUAAAUAUUGACCUCCAGAGAAAUGUCUUGUAUCCUAAUUCCUAGAACUUGUGAAUGUUACCGACUGUGCCAAAGGCUUUGCAGAUGUGACUAAGGGUCCUGAGGUGGAGCGAUCACCUUGGGUUAUCUGGGUAGGUCCUAAAUCCGAUUGUAAGUGUCUUUAUAAGAUGGCGGCACAGGCAGAGGUAGAUCUGACACAUGGAGGAGAGGGCAGUGUGAUCAGGGAGGCAGGAGUUAGAGUGAUGGGGUCACAAACGAUCGCAUGUGGGCGGUCACUGGAAGCUGGAAUCCAUGAGGAAGGGACCCUCCGGUAGGGCCUCUGGAAGUGGCACAGCCUCUACUGGCCCCUUGGCAGUACUGACCGCAGACUUCUGCAAUAAUCCACGUCUGUUGUUCUGAGCCAUCACGUUUGUGGCAAUUUGUUAUAGCAGCCACGGGGACCCAAUACAGGGACUGUCCUCCCAGAGCAUAAACCAUGAGGUCUCAGGAUGGACUAAUAGAAGGAAGAUGGCAAAAGAAUUUGUUGGCUAGUGCCAACCACCGGUUGGUGAACGGUUUUCCUCGUGGGACAUUAACACCCCCUUACUUCCCCGUCUUACCUCUGGGCUGAGCAUGGCUGGGAGUGGAGUUUCGCUGGAGUUGUCUCAUGCUUCGUGGGUGAUAGGGAAGCUCCGGGAAGGGAGGGCAGAGCCCCGCCAAGGGGACAGAAGAAGAGGCUCCAUUGGGUUGCACAUGACGAAGUCUGUGGAGUGGAGGCAGGGGGAAGCAAAUAGCUGACAGUCCCGAGCAGUGUGGCCAAGUCGCCACCUGAAAGGUGGCACACAAGGGGAUUUGAAGCAAUGUUCUCCUUGGCCCUCCUCACAGGCGCACGAGGCACGGGGGGUAUGAUCUCGUCAGCAUGCACUCAUUCUCCGGUCUUGAAUAGCAUUAGCUUCUGGAGCUCACUGUCACUCAGGGCUGCACGUGUCACCUUCAAAUGCGGUCAUGGAAGUCCUUUCCGUCAGUUGGGUCAAAAGCUGCCUUCGCGGACUACUCCACGAGUGGCUCUAGGUUUACUUCUUGAUGCACAUUAAAAUAAGGCUCAUUCUUGCACGUGAUAGCUCUCUGCAAAUAUUUGAAGACAGUUUUUAUCCUUUUCCCCCCUACCACGCAGAGCUCCUCCCACUUCUUCAACUGGAGCAUAGGGGAGGAGCUUUCUCUUUGUGGCUGGUGGCCACGCCCACCCCUCCUCUGGCCAGGUUUCAGUUUGUGCCCCCGUAGGGAAGCUCACAGAAUGCCCCAGAACUUCAGGUAUGGUCUUCUCGGGCAUAUGGGGUUCCUCCCUCCUUGGUUCUUACAUCGUUUAAUGUAGCCAGAGAUUCUUGUUAUUUCAUUUUUUGCCAAGCACGAUGUUUUUUUUUUGGUUGUACAGAGCAUAGUGUUGAUCACAGCGCUUCUGACACUUGUUUGUGUACGGAUGACCCUGGAAGUGUAGGUUAGUACCAAAGGUGCCCCAAGGGCUCCAAAGAAUGAAUCACUUUGCAAGUGGUGUUAUUGUAUGCUCAAAUCGUGGAGAUCAGAGUGUCACCCCACGUCAAGGCACAUAAACAGGCACAGUUUUGUGCAGUGUUGAGGUCAGUUGGGGAUCCCUACAGGUCAGCACCAAUUGGCCACGUGAGAUUGAAGGGCUCUCUCAGCCAACCUGCCCUGUUACCGGCCUUCCUCCUCAGAACAAGGAGCCAACCAACCAAAUCCAGUUCUGGAGAGGGAGGAAAUCUACCCUGAUAGAGCAGGCAGCGUUCUACUUGUGGUCCAAUCCAAGACCCCAGCACCUUCUUGCAGGAAGAUUACCAUGGACUAAGAAAGCCAGUGGACAGGUGUUCUACAUCCAUUAUCUGCCAUGUUCACAGUAACCCUGCAAGGUAGAUAUUUGCAGUCUUCAGGUUACAGAUAGAGAAAUUAAGGCUCAGUUCAAAGGAACUUUCCCAAGGUUUGAGCAUAGCAGACCUAGGGUUGAGAUUCAGGUGGGUCAGUCUUUCUGCUACACCGUGUGGUGGCUAAAGUGAUUUUGAAGCCGUAGGAGAGGGAAGGGUGGGGGGUCUUUGGAUCUCUGUAGGUGCACUGAGCCUUGAGCUGACCCUUCCAGGCCUCCCCAAAGGAGCUGGGUAGAACACGGUUGGCAUUAAAUGGCUAGUCUUUGUAAGUUCUCCCUCAGUGACUGGGUCUUCUAGUGUCAUACACGUUAGGAAACAUCUCCGCCACAUCUGGCCCAACCUCCACCGUUCACAAAUUCGGGACUUUCUUUGGCCCAACACCCAUUUGCUAAGCGCCUUCUGGGUCUUUUGCACCAAGCCAAGAUAGGGACGGAAGAACAGGGGCCCUUGGUUUAGGUCAUGCAGGCUGAGAGUGCAGGGGUUUGGAUGAAGGUCUCAACUGUCUAGGUCAUUGAUUCCAAUCCUGCAGAGAAGCCAGUAACAUUAGAACUUCCUCUGGGCGUCUACCCAGACCGAGGUGUUCUUGAACCCAUGAGGUUGGAUAAUAUUGUGUGAAGCAUUAUCCAACCUUGUACCUCUAUCUAGUUUUUUCUUUUCACUUUUACCUCAUUCAAGCAACUAGGCCAGUGGCUAUUUUUUUUUUCAGGGAGGGAAGUGACAGUGAAAAAUACGUCUUCCCUGGUGGUGGCAGAUUCUUUAGGUUGACGCUCUCAAUCCCUGCCCUGCUGGCUAUUUCCUGUAACAGAGGCUAGGAAACCAACAGCUCACCUUGCCACCACCCUUCAGAUCGGAGUAGGCGGAUGCCUCCAGUGCUGGCGGGAAACGUAGGCCACGGUCCAUCGUAGCCACUUCCUUCCCAGCCAGCUUUGUCCUGCUCACAUGAUAUGGGAUGCCCAGGGGACAGCGGCCAUUGUUAAACAGCGCUAAACAGGCUGGAGGCUAGGAAGAGCCUGGUUCUUUGACUGCGUCUUUGUUUAGCCCUGUGCCCGAUUUUUUAAAAAAGUUUUUUUUUAUUUAUUUUUGAGAGUGGGGGACAGGGAGAGAGGGAAAGAGCGAGAAUCCCAAGCAGGUUCCGUGCCGUCAGCGCAGAGCCCAGCACGGGGCUUGAACACACGAACUGUGAGAUCAUGACCUAAGCCGAAACCAAGAGUCGGACGCUUAAUUGACCGAGCUACCCAGGUGCCCCUGUGCCCGACUUUUUUGUGUCUCACAUUAAAUUUCUAUUUGGUCAAGCCUCUGUUGUUGGGUUUCUGUGAUAUCCUUCCGGACGCAAGCCUUACUGUUUUGCUACAUUCUUGGGGGAACAGAAAGCCUUUAGGGCCCAGCUAAAGAGUGGAGAUUACAAAGUCUGUGGGUACAUUUCACAGUCUUGAUGGUGGGGGAAAGGGCAGGGAGAAGGAGAUCUAUCCUUGGUCUCUUGACCAUCUGGUAGGAGCUGUAAUUGUGGAGCACGAGGCUGUCCAGAAGCUUGGGCAGAAGGCUUGUGAGGACCAAGGAGGGGGGGGAGGACUGAGCGACAUAUCAAAGGUUGCCUGAAUAGACACAUGACAUCAAACACUGAUGGCCUCUCCCUUACCAUGUCUUAGAACUAAAGAAUCCCCAGAACUUGGCCAUGGCUUAGGCACAAGGGAGGCCCCAAUUCUGAUAUAUUUCUCUCUCUAUAUAUAAAAUAUUUAUUUUGAGAGACAGAGAGAGGGAGCAUGAGCGAACCCAGGGGAGGGGCUGAGGGAGAGGUAGAGAGAGAAUCCCAAGCAGGCUCCAUGCUGAGCAUGGGCUCAAUUUCAUGACCGUGAGAUCAUGACCUGAGUUGAAAUCAAGAGUCGGAUGCUUAACCGACUGAGCCACUCAGGCGCCCCCAGAACUUACAUAUUUUUAAUGCCUGAGCUGAGGACUGAGAUUAGCACCGGCUCUGUGUUAGCAUGGGCAGAAUAUGUAGAAACCCUCUUCGCAAGGUCGAAAUGGAUGAGUCACACUGGAUGAACCCAGGGGUCUGCCUGCCUCCACUCCUGCGUGGGGGUGGGGGGCGCGACACCAUACCCCUGAGUGGUGGCACGGGGUUGCUGAGGUUCCGAGUGUUUUGGGGGUCUCGAGCUGACCUCUGUGACGGGCUCCUUGUUCUCUCUUGCGAUCCCUGAGGUGCUCCUCAGUGUCAGGACUUGUUUCCAUUCAGCGGGUAAAUUCAGGAUGGAGGUUCAGGGAGGGUGGGCCGAGAGAGGAUGUUUGUCUCUCUGUCCUCACAGAAACGUUGCUCAAGACUGCUGAGGUGAAAGGGGGGGAGAAUUCAGCAAAUUGGUUUUGAUUUUGGAGAUGAUUAUAAUUAAGCCAAAUCGUUUCCUGCCUUCUUUCAAGGCUACCACUUUUCCAACUUUCCGUUCAGUUCGGUUCAGCCGCAGCACUGGGGUUAUUUGGUCCUCUCAGAGUUGGCUGAGAGGCGCUUUUCCAGCCCCUGGUAACCGUGUGACCUGGGGCAAGUCACUUUCAUGUGUCGCCGUGUCAUCUGUAAAAUGGAGUGGACGACUGGACCCCCUCACAGGGUUGGGUGAGGGGUAAAGCCCUGGGAACGGGACUGACACGCAGCACACAGAGCACGCCGUGGGCUACUCAUCGGGCUCAGGCUCCCUCACCUGAAGCCCCAUCAUUCCCUAGGAGACAGGGGGCACUGGCAUCACUAUGAAAAAGCUACAUCAUCCGGUGCAAGUCUAAUGCUUGCCUUCCGACAAGAGCGGCGAGCUACAAGUUCACGUUUAGAUCUUUGCCUAGGUGUCUACUGAGUAGCAUUGCUUUUUGCGUUUUGUUGGAGAGGAGGUCAUUGGCUUCAAUUCGCUCCCUUGUGCUGGAAAGGUGGUGGCUUGAUCACCGAAGGGACCCUUCUGCUCCACCCCCGUAGGGGCUUCCGAAGAUUGCCCGGUUCUAUCGCGGGGUUGAACUUCCCAUCAGGAAGUCAAGUAUGGUCGGAAUAAAUCUUUUAAAAUGAAAUCCCUGCUUGCAUCAUUUAUGGUUACAUCUUCUUUCCUUUGCUCGAUCCUAAUGGUUGCUCGAGUUUGGAUGACGAUCCCUUAUUCCUCAUCGCAGGAGCAACCCUCCCCGCCCCCACCGGGGGAGAGGGUUCUCCAUGAAAGUUGGUUUCACUCUGCUGCUCAGAAGGGCUGUAUUCCAAUGAGCUCCUUCCCUUCAUUCGUUAUGCUGAAAUCAUAUUUCUAGAGGACAGAGAUGAAUGCCGUGUACUUAUCUGAUGAAAAUGCCUGUUGUUUUAAAUCUAUUCUCACAGACUUUUCCCCUCUGAUAGACAUUCGGCGACACAACACAUUAAAAAUUAUAUCUGUAUCAGUAGUUUCCUCUGUUGUCGUUACUGUGGCCUGUGCGCAUGUGCUUGGAUCGAAGCGAGCGGCGCUAACCCAGGGGUCCCCUGUUCCGAGCGGAAUGUAUCGACAAUUCUGAAACAGUUGCCGCUUUGGAAAAAGCAAGAGUGGGUUAUAUUUUUUAUUGAUUGGCUAGAAAAAUCGCACAGUUGUGUAAGCACCAAAUGUAAAAAUUACAUUACAAUGAAAAAGUACAAGGAGACACUAUUUACCAAAGGCUUUUUACCCAAGUGGCAGUAAUGGAGUGACCCAUUGUUACAGGCAAUUCGGCAGGUCUCUCUUCUAGGCCAUUUUCCAAGUGUUUUUGCUGUUCAGCAGGGCCUGGGGAUCAGGACUGAGUAUAGUUUAGUCCUUGCCCACCGGCGUCAUCAAAACCUCCGUUCAUCUUUGAGUUCUGUGCCCCCCACCUUACCAAAAGAAUAACGCCUCCCCCAGAAUUACGCAAAAAUCGUCGGCAAAGUUAAUUGAAAUCCGGAUCUCUUAAUGGUUUUCUCUUUCUUAAGUGAUGGCUUGCCUUCUGAAAAGUGAGGUUUAAGUCAAAAGACGGCUUUAAUUGAAGAUGAGUGAAUUGGUAGGAGAGAGAAAGUGGAGGUAGAAAAUUUUCCAAGAGACUGAAAGAUAGUGUUUGCAUUUAGGAUUUCCUUUCCUUUCAAGUUUUACGCUGGGGCUUAAGGAAUGUUACCAGAUGCGAAGAAUGACCACGGCCGCUGCUCCGUUGUCUCCUUCAAGGGCUGGAAAUGCUUUGAAGGAGACCGGCCUCUUCCCUUUCCUCCCACGGGGCCAGAGAGAGCAUGAGGGGCAAAAGAGAGCACUGGAGGACUUCCUACCACCAGAAGGAGGUCAGCUUCUUUAUUCUAAAGAUUCUCCACCUUUCUGAUGAGUGAGGUAUUCAUAUCAUAGGGAUUCAGGCCUGUGAUUUGGCUUAAUGCCAGCAAUACGUGUUAUAUUUAAAGCAGCUGAUAAUCUGCAAAGUAAACUCCUUCGCUGGAUUCGCAUGCCCAUUUGGGGAGGCAAACGUAACUGGUAUUUUAAUCUCUACUUUGUGCGGGAAGACACUGAGACUCCAGUGGAUUGGAAUUUGUCCAAGAUGACCCAACCAGUGAGGGGGACUCAGGUCUUUCGGCUUUUAGGGGAAGAGGUAGGGGGUCAAGGCCCAGGCACUUACCUUGAUGGAGCUCCCGAUGCCGGGGUAGACAAGGCUCAUCAUCAGCCACUAGGGACCCACACGGUGUCCCUAUAGUGCCCUCACUUAGUGCCAGUCCUGCCACUGGGCUUUGCAAUUCAGAAUGCUGUUCUGACUCUCUUUGGUAUCUUCCCAAAUAUUCAGACAAAGAACUCCAAAAGGCAUCUGGUCAAGCUUUGCGAGGGGAGAAAACUUAUCCUCCGAUUCCCGAAGCCCUGAAGUCAGGGAUUUGAUUAUGCUUAUCAUGAUCUCAGCUUCCACCGCUCCAAAUGUGAUUAGUUUUGUAAUUAGUUAAUGUCAUUACCUGUCAUCAAAUCCAGACAAUGUUGGUCUCUCAAACCUCCCGUGGCACACAAACCCACAACCUGACAUCUUUUCACUAUUUAACAGUGAGUUGCUUUAAGAAUCCUGGCAACUGUCCCCUCUUUCCUAGACCAGAGGUCUGAGAGUUAGGGGAAAGAUGUAUUUCUUGUGUUUCUUUAAGGCGAUUUAAAAUUCUUCGGUCCGCUUCCCAAAACUUUUCUUCACUCCAAGCAAAGCAUAAAUAUAAUCUUUUCAGCAAAUCUUAUACCCCACCGUAUUUUCCUUCUUAUGUAUGUUGGCUAUAUUUUGCUUUGGGCGGAAUGGCCAAAAUAGGACCCAGUUUACCGUAGGGAAACACCCUGUUAAGAACUAUUUUUACCUUAUAGAAAAUGCUGCUUGUCUUAUUACUUACUUGCUACUAAAGACUGGGCAAAUGGUUUUCUUCUUUGCUUCGGUUCUACCAUCCAACUGAUAUUCUCUGCAUGCCUGUUGGGUGCAGGUACUUGGAAUACAGCGGAGAACAGACUGGUGAAAUCCCCGUCCUCUGGGAGCUAAUGUUCCAGUGGAGAAAGGCAGAGAAUAGGAACUGAGUGUUUAAAAGUACAGGACACAGUAAGUGGGCUGGACAUGUUCCGUUUGUCCCUCCAGACCCCCUCUUUCCCCUUUUCCACCCUGCUCUGUGGAGAAUCCUGGGAAAGUAGGUCCCUAGGGGUGACAUCAAUGGCUUCUUUGCCAAUAGGGUCUGGCUGGAUCAGGAGCUGGAAACUGAGGCACAGGAGAGUGAGGUCAGGGUGCUGCUGACGGGUGAGUCCCUCCCGCUGGCCCUAGGGGGACACAAUUGCUUUUCUGUGUGGCGGGAGUCACCCCCUCCCCAGUGCUGCUUCAAGCCUAGGGGUGAUAUCUGGUCGCCACAGUUUUGAUUUUCUUAACCCCAGUGACGCCUCUGUAAACAGACCCUUUGCUGGCCUCUCCGGAGUCACCCAUUUGAAUGAGCCCUCUGUUUCUCACCGGGACCCUGACUGGCACAGUAGGUUAAAAGGCAAUGCCAUGGAACAAUGCCAUUUCUUCCAGGCGUUUCCCCCCCCCCCCAACCCCGUUUGUCGGCUACAUUGCUUGCUGUCCUGUGCACACUUUUGGACUAAAUGUCAUCUGACUUCAGGCUGCAGUGCUCCCCUAGGACUCAGUUUCUCAUCGAUGGAGGCCACGUGAUUCGUCCUCAUUAUACGUUGCAAAACAAGGGCACCUCCUCUACAUGCUCUGAAGACGGCGAUUGUGUUCUGCGACCCUUGGCCAGCCCUCAGCACCUCGUGAAGUGUAAGGGGGCCACACAGACUUGCUCACUCCUAGACGGGUUCAGCAAGCCCCUGCUAACCAACAGGAAAGUGCGGGUGCCUGAGAUGUGGUCUUCGAGACCCUUCCCAGCCUUGCUUCCUGCCCCCACAGCCCUACCCCCUGCUCUGUGCCUGUGGGGGCAACUCGUGCAUUUCUAGCUCACCAUGUACUUUUAUUCCUCUGUGAUAAAGACCCGAUUCAGGAGUCCUCUUAGAAGACUUUGCUGGUUUCAUCAUUUUACGGAAAGGGAGAUGAUAGAUAGGUUAGACAGAUAGAUGAUAGAUAGAUAGAUAGAUAGAUAGAUAUUUAAAAGUUGUAAUUUAAUUAAAUUUCCUAAUUAUGAGAAAGUUUCAUGCUGACCAUAGAGAACAUAAAAUACAAGUUAGGAAAAUUCAUCUUCCUAUCGCGUGUAGGUACCACAGACAUUUUGGAUAUAUUCAAGAGGCUUCAACUCUAGCUUUGAGGGGAACGCACUUAUCCGUUGCCAGGCCAUCCCUGUUGACCGACGCCUUCUUGUUUUCUAAAAACUUUUAUAGAUUCUUGGACUCUUUUGCCUGCCCGGUUCACGCUGGCCUGAACUGCCCACUUAAGCCAAACUAAGUAUUUUCCUUGUCUGCAUUGAAGCUUAUUGCUUAGGUUUGGGGAGCGAAUCCAGGCUCUGUGCUUGGUAGUUCAUGGCAUCCCCUUCUUCUUCAAAACAGGGUCCAAGGUUUCAGAUGGCCUGGAGCGCUCCCCAUGCUUGUGGGUGGUUUAUAUACUUAUCACCUUCCUUCUGGAAACCCCUGAAGGAUGCUGUCCGGUCAAGGAGCUUUUGCUCCUCUGUAACCUCCCCCCGGCUAGAGACUUCAGCGUGUGUUAAGGCCACAUUAGGGCUUCCUGUGCAAAACGCCCUUGAAACCUGAAGUUCCCCAUUUCUCUUGAUAAAAGUGAGGUGGAAAGACGAAAAGCGUAACAGCUUUGUUACCUGAUGGCACUUAUUAGUUAUCUUUCCUCAGAAACAGUACUGACAGACUUCAUGCGGAUUUAAAAGUUAUACUCUGGGGGAAUUUGUCAACUCAAGCCACUGACUGAAUGCCAUUCAUAUGUUCCGUUUUUGUUUUGUUUUGUUUUUAGUCUGAAAUAGGAUAGUGCACUCAAGAAUCAUUCAAUAUAAGUUUUAGUUUAAAAUUCCCAGUUUCCAGCAGCCUAUUCAAUACACACACACACACACACACACACACACACAGGCACGCAGCAGUCUGGCUAAAAAAUAUCCUCAGGAAACCAGCCUGGAAGAACAGAGGGUGAAACAUGAAUGAGCUAUUUAGCUUUUCUUGGAAAAUGGCAUAAUUCUCAGAGGGACCAAAGCCCAAGCAUUCCCCAGAUUUUUGUCAGGCACAUGUACCAGUCCACAAAAUGCUGGAACCCCAAACACAGAAUCUGGAUUCAUUUCAAUUUCAGUAAUUCAGGUGUUUGUGGCAUAGAAUAAACACCACCCAGAAGGCAGCAAUCCUGAGUUACCAGAAGUUCCAGCGUGCAAUAUAAUUUUAGGCAACAUUUUCAGCUUCUUCUACAGAGGGGAUAGUUAAGUUAGUCAUUCAGUUCGCACAAGCAGAAUGUUUUACUAUUUGAAAAAGAAAUCCCGAAUCAACCAGCGUUUGGGACUAAUAUGGCUGAAUUAAUUUAUUUUUCUAAGGUCAUGUAGAUCGAGCUUCAAUCUGCUGGUGUCUUUAUUUCGGCAAGUCGGUGGAGUGUCCGUUGAGUGGAUGUGACAAAGUCCUGUUGUGUUAGACGUUGUGAGCUGGGACUUGACGUGAUAUCUGCUGCUUCUGGGGGAGCUUGCGAUCCAGCCGGCGAGAGCAGACAAUUCUUAUGAAACAAUCAGUGGGGAGCGCAAGGCAUUAAAUACAAAGUGUGAACAAGUAUGGGACAGGAAUCGAGAGGAGAGAGGGAGACAGAGUGGACUAGAUUGUUUCUGCAAGGCUGGAGGCCACAGGGGAUAGGCUGGAGGGAUUUGUAUAGGUUGAGGGGGAGAGAUGGUUUGUCGGGCUGGGAUUUAGCAAGAGAAAAGCCACUGCUUGCAAGAAACAUAAAUUGAACAUCCACAUGCCAGGUAUUUCUUAAAAAGAACUAAGAUCUUUACGUUCACGAGCUAAUUCUAAUAAUAACCGCAAGACAAGGUAUUUUAGCCCCGAUUUUGGGCAUGAGCAGGAUGACUUUUAAAGAUACUAAAAAAUUUGCUCAAGAUCACCUUGAAGGAAGCUGCUAACCUAGGAUUGUCUUGGGUACAGCAAAGAGGUCUGCCUGUUUAUUUCCCUGGCUUCAGAUUAGAGCAGGAGGCACUCUGGUCAAUUGCGUUUUGCACGUCCUGGCACAACGAGUGAAGACAUGGAUGGGAAAACUUAGGGGUGAAAACAAAACACAUCUGGAUGUUUGCUGAGCUUCGGAGCCCAAGAAGAAGGGGGAGGAUUGCUCAUGCUGGAGGUAGCUGCAGUGAUGGCCACCCUGGACAUCAUGCGACCCCCCCACCCCCAACAGCUCCCAUGUAGCGGGGGAGCUGGGGGUGGGGAGGAGGGAGGUCUUCUUUCUCCACUCAAAGACAGAGUCAGCACAUAGGUUCUGCUGCCCUGGGACAGGCCUCAGAAAGUUUUCUACUCGGAAAGGAGUUGAAAAACAUGUGGCAGAUGGCAAAUUUUCCCUAAAUCUGUCCUCCUUUUCUCCCUGGACGUGAAGUCAUUCAGCUAGAGACCCUACUUCCCACCCUCCCUUUCUGGACGUCAGACGAAGUUGUUGCCUAUGAAAUGUGAACAGAAGUGAUGUGUGCAACUUCUGUUUUCAGCUCCUAAUUGGAACUCAUUCUUCCUAGGCUUCCUUUCUUCCUCCCUUCCGGUGGGCUGGAACCCGGAUGUGCUGGCUGCCCCAUUAAACCAAGCACAGUGCCCUGCAGGAUGGGGGGCAACAAGAGGGAAGGAUCUGGAUCUCUCCAUCACUGUGUGAAACAGAACAUUCUGCCAGCCUGCACUGUCCAACUCGAGAGCGUGAAAGGGAAAGCAAUUCGAUCCUGGGAGCCACUGUGUUUUGUUGUCUGUUUCACAGAAGAGCUGAGGUUUUUACCCUGAAUAAUGCAGAACAUUUCUGGGCUGGGAAGCAGAGAAUUGAUUUCAGGUCAUUAUCUUGUCUUCCCUCAUUUUUUUCCUUCUUUCCUUCAUUCCAAAAAUAUUACCGAGCACCAACUCUGUACCAGCCAUGCUAAAGUAACAAAAGAGUCAUGCUCCUAUCCUGCCGGCGCCUCCCUUCUAGCAGGGAAGAGAGACACAGCAGGUAGACAGACAUAAAAUUGAAGCACCUGCCGACUGGAGUAUGUGUUGCGAAGAACAUAAACGUCCAGAUGCAUGGGCGACAGAAAGCCACUGUAGCCAGCAUGGUCAGAGGAAGCCUCCACGAGGAGGUGGUGUUUCAGCUGAGCCCUAAAGGAAGACAAGAAAUAGGUGUGCAGAAAGUGGGGACACACCCUUCCAAGCGGACGAGAGCGUGUGCCAAGGCCCCACACGAGGAAGAACUUAUUGAGGACAGGGAACUGGAGACAGGAAUGAAGAGUGGAGAGAGACACAUUCCAAUUGGCGAUAUGGCUGGGGGCUGGUAUACCAGUGGCUUUUGAAGGGUUUCAACAAGGGUGUGUUGCGGGAGAGAGAGAGAGAGAGUGCACUCACUCCGUUAUUAAGAUCGCUUUUACUACUUUAUAGACAAAGUACUGUGAGAAUUUCUGCAGCUGGCAUAACCUCUAGUGGUCCUAGCAGUGAAGGAUGAGAUGGGUCAUAAAAGUCGCAGGGGCACCUGGGAGGAUCAGUCAGUUAAAUGUCCAACUUUUGGUUUCGGCUCAGGUCACGAUCUCCCAGUUCGCGGGUUCGAGCCCCGCAUAGGGCUCUGUGCUGACAGUGUAAAGCCUGCUUGGGAUUCUCUCUUUCCCCCUCUCUCUGCCUCUCCCCUACUCUCACCCUCUCUCUCUCUCAAAAUAAAUAAACUUAAAAAAAAAUGUUACAUUCACGUAGAUGAAAAAUGCAGCAUAGGGGAUAUUUUAAAAAUCACAGAAUUUCUCUAUCCAUAUAAUAUUUGAAUUCAGUUAAAAUAAAUACAGGGGCACCUGGCUGGCUCAGCCGGUAGAGCAUGUGCGUCUUGAUUUCGGGGUCAUGAGUUGCAGCCCCACGUUAGGUGUGGAGCCUGUUUAAAAAACAAAGUAAGUACAAGCCAGUAGUUUUAAACAUGAAGUUGGAAGAGGGUUUUGUAAGCAACGUGUUGUCAAUUUCACACAGGCUGCGAAAUCCUGGUUCAGACUUUAGAGGUGCAGGCAUCUUGUCGACAUGUGUAGUUUAGGGGUGUGGCUGAGGUUGUUGAAAAAGGGGUCUCCCCAGAGACACUGUGCACUGCCAUUUCUGGGGCUUGUAGGGGUUGUUGCCGUGGUGGGGCUUCUGGAAGCUUCUCAGGGCCCUGGCCUUUGGAAUUUCUACUCCUGGUUUGGAGACAGUGAAGAAGGAAAUGGGCACAUUUUCAUUUAUAAAACUUCUCAGACUGUUAAAGCUACCUGUUUUUUUCUCAAGCAAGUAAAGGCUGUAUUUAAGAACCGUCGUUUCCUUCAAGUAUUAAUUUUUCUGAGUGAGAUUUUGCCUCUUAAAGGGCAAUAUCCUGACUCCUUUUGAAAUAGCUGUUCACAGGCAAGUUCUUUCAGGAAGGAAAUGAUACAGUUCCCAGACUUGCAGAUGUCAAUGCAGUUAUUAUUGGGGUGUUCUUUCUAAGGUUUUGUGUUUCCCCAGCCUUGCUGAGAUGUAACUGACAUCUAACGUUGUGUAAAUUCAGGUGUCCGGGGCCUGGAUUAGACACACUUACAUAUUGCACAUUUCUAAUUUUUUAACCGUUGUCUUCAGAAAUAGGACAUUGUUGUUUAUCUUUUUUUUUUUGGACAGAUGAGUGAUAUCAGGGUCUGAGGUAGACCAAAUUAAGGAUAUUGUGAGAUGCUAAUUUCUUGGUGAUUUUUUUUUUUUUUUUGCAUAUCUAAGAAAUCUAACAAGAAAAGAAGUCCAAGUUUCAGCUUCUGCACAUCAGGAAAUGGUUAGUGUGGCCCAGUCUCGCCUUACAGACCUGCUGGGGAGGAAAACCUUCCUUUCUCUUCCCUUCCCCCCAUCUCUUUCCAUCUCUUACCCCAAAGGAUUCUCCGAGGGAACCGGGGUACGCUUGACUGCCCCUGGAGAAUGGCCGCCCUCUGUACAGCUGCUCCCGGGAAUCAGCCUUGGAACAGGGCUCUCCUGGGGGCAGGAGGAGGGAAGCGGGGUCAAACAUAGCUGGAUUUCCUAUGGCCAGGCUUCCUUGCAUGCUCUUUCUUCCUCUGCUCCAAAAAAAAAAAAAAAAAAGCCCCUGGAAGAGGCCUGGGGAGUCAGAUCAAAUGUACUGGCCCAGAGCCAAAGCUUGACUUGUCCCAGCCUGAGUCUCCGACCAGGGACUCCACGUUCUCAAGUCUUCAUUUCUGUCCCGUUGAAACUGAUAGGGAAGGUUAAUGAGAUUAACAUGGCCAAACACUGUAGGCUUCUGAGAAGGAGCCAGAUACGUGCCGGCCGCUGCGGAAAAUACUGGCGGGGCCGUUCUUCUUGGGGACAUUUUACUGGACUCUCCUCUAGUAAAACUUGAUUGUUUUUAUCAGACAAUUCAAAAGUAGCGUGUAUUCAGGGCUAGUCACACCAGUGGCUACUCAGUAAAUGCCUGCUGGGUCCACGCAUGAGUGAGUGCCUUAUUUUAUUGUAUUUCGCUUCUGACCUUUUCACCAACUUGGCCCAUCCCUGGCCACCUUUCCAAAUAUACAGUGAUUAAUAUUUUCUAGGAUAGGUCCUUUGAUUCAGAAGAGCCAUUGGGUCUGUGAUGAAAUGUGGUAAAACGAAGAAAGAGUCAAGGACAAACCCCAAACCCUGUAUGGGGCAGAAAGAGGAACUCUCUCUGUGGUUGGAGAUUUUCUGAAUAAAAUGUUCCCGAGAAAGGUGGAGAAGAUGGAAAUGUUUGUGUGUCUGUGUGUGUGUGUGUGUGUGUGUUUAUGAGUAUUUUUAAACACGAACUAGAAGCGAAAGGCGGAGAAGGAGGAAGAAAUUUUGGUAAAUCUAUAAAGUCCCCACAAUUUAUGAGAGUUUAAAAGGCAAUUUCUUUUUAAGGGGCAAAUUCCUAAUUUCCCACAUAAAAGUAUGGGAAUUGAAUGGUAAAUCCUUCUGUGGCGACAAGACCCCUGAAAAGAGGUAUGAAAAAGAGUUACUGUUCCUUUUCCAUUCAUGUGUCUUGAAAGCCGGUGGAUGUGAAACUGCCCUGCCAACACACAGCCCGGGGUUUCAAAGCUGCCCGGAUGACUUUUCAGAAAUGAUCUAUUGUGACGCUUUGUUUUGUCCGGGUUGCCCUCGUUUUGUUCUGCUUGGGCUGUAUCACUCUUCUGCCGCUGCCAUGAAUCCACUCUGUCUGCUCCUCCCCAUUCAGAGGUAUUUUUACCCCCUGCCCCGCAAGGGGAGUCCGGGGACAAGUGGCUGAAAGGCUCAGCAUUGCUGCUGUGGAGAGAGGGACCGAGGCCGAGAGGCCAGGGGUGGGGGCGGGGAAGGAGCAGGUGGGUGGGGUGCUGGGUGCAGAGACUCACCUGGGUGGUUAGGGUGUCGGGGAAGAAAAAGGACAGGGAGCUGGGUGGGGCAGGGGGAGGGAGGGGAGCGCGCAACGCAACGUGCACGGGCUUUAUCCUCUGCCUGCCGGGAGGCUGAGCACCGUGGAAAAAACCUUUCCUUACUUACACUUGAGCUGAAGGGCUGAGCUGCUUGGGUGCGGCACGGGCACCAGGAAUGGGGGCCCCCGCAGAGCCUGCGAAUGAAACCCUGCCCUUAAUUUUCAGUUUUGAAUCGGUUAACUUACCUGCAGUUACAUACAUGAGCUCCCUGGAGCCCGGGUGUGGUCGGACUGGAAUAAAAUGACAAACGGUACAAUGGUUUGUAAAGCAGACCAUUACAUCUGAAAUUUGUUGUUUGGGGAGUGACUCAGAUGUGGUUGCCAUCCUCUUGGAAAUAUCAUUGGUUUUCAAUUAUAUUCUAAAUAGGGAAGAUGCUUCUUUUUUACAUCUCUGUCCUACACAUCACUCGCUUUUUUAAGGAGAUUUUUUUUAAGUUUAUUUUUAUUUAUUUUGAGGGGGGUGGGCAGAGGGAGAGGGUGAGAGAGAAUCCCAAGCAGUCCCUGCGCUUUCCGCUCUGAGUGACCGCUGCGAGAUCACGACCUGAGCUGAGAUCAAGAGUCUGAUGCCCACCUAGGUGCCCCGCAUCACUUACUUUUUAAAAAAAUUUUUUUCCCAACGUUUAUGUUUGAGAGACAGAGGGAGACAGAGCACAAGCAGGGAGGGCAGAGAGAGAGGGAGACACAGAAUCCAAAGCAGGCUCCAGGGUCUGAGCUGUCAGCACAGAGCCGGACGUGGGGCUCGAACCCAUGAACUGUGAGAUCACGACCUGAGCCAAAGUCCGGGCGUUUCACUGACUGAGCCACCCAGCCCCCCCACCCGCAUCACUUACUUUUAAGUGCAAGAGGGCUGCUCAAAAGUCCCAAAGGGUCCCGUGAUAGGCUGGGUUAUAAAUUAGUAACAAACUCCCGCCGAAUACCACAGUAGCUUACCACAUUAGUUUUGUUGAUCUCUGUACACAUCCAGCAGGGGGCAGCAGGGAGCUCUGGUCAUCACAGCUGUUCAGGCAUGUGGUGCAAUAGAGGGUCAGUCUCUGUGCAUCCAUGAUCUCCGUGGACAGAAGAAGGUACCUCUCAAGACUCUCACACCGGCAAUUAAACGUCUGACCCAGAUGGUGCUUUCCCUGACAACUAAGUCCAAUGGCUGCACCCUGUUGCUGGGGCCAGGAGGCUCCCUCGCUGGGGUGCAGGAGAAGGUGGAGAACCAGCCAUCUGCCGGAACACGUUCUUAGGAAUAAGCAGAGGGCUGCAUAAAAAGAAGGAAAGAAAGAAAGAAAGAAAGAAAGACAGAAAGAAAGACAAAGAAGGACAGCAAGCCAUUUUCAAAACUUUAACCGAAUGGCAAAAAACCGAAUGGCACAUGUUUUGACCACAAUAUGAUUAGCCCUAGCCUCUACUGUCCUUUGAGCUGUGUGACCUCAGGCAGAUUACCUAACUUACCAGGCCUCCCUCCAUUCCAUCACUGAUAAAGUGAAUCGGUGGGUUUGAUCACUGGUUCUCCAACCUGAGUGAGCUUUAGAUCACCAGGGUCUUAUUAAAGCAUUCGUGAUGGGACCUCACCCCCCACCGUCUCUGAUUCAGCCGGCCUGGGGGUGGGCCCAAGACUUCGGAUUACUAACAAGUUGCCCGGCGAUGUUGAUGCUUCUGGUCCAAGGAUCACAUUCUGAGCUGGUCUCCAGGUGAACUCUAGAGUCUGAUGCAGCUGAGAAAUUUAAUCUUUCCUAUAGGGAACGGGGUAGAAUUAGUCGAGGAGUUGCCUAAGAGCUGCAGUAAAGCUUUCAUGUUGAAAUUUGACCGGAAAAGGAUUCACCGGAGCGUCACCAACCCCUAACCUUUUGUGAGAGCACAUUUGCAUGUUGGGUUGACACAUAGAGCUUAAAGACACAUCUCAAUUACAAGAUGUGGUCCAGACAGCUGCCCUUGCGGGGACAGAGGCGGCCACUCAACUCUGAGCAAUUACUUAAAAUUAGACUUGUCAAAUUUGUUUAGGGUGACCAGGCAAGUACAUACAUUGACCUAAUGUCACUCUUCCUAGGGAGACGUUGUAAUGAUUUUGUAUAUCAGUCAAACUAUUCAAAUACUAACGCCGCCUUCAUGCCGUAAUCAACAUUCUGGUCAGAUGUCAUCUUUAGAAGCCCUUGGGGAUUUGCAUCGCUUAAUUAUUCUUCAAUACCCAAACCAAGCAUUCUUUAAUUGGUGUAAAUUGAACGGUGUUCCAGUGCAAACAAGGAGAGGGCACACUGAUCAAUGAUUCCGUGCAUGUCUAUUGGAAAGCCAUUGCCAUUAGAUCAAAUCACAAACCUCAACUCCUUUUGCUUCAGUGGGAGCACUAGCUCAUGGAACCAGCAAAUACUAUUUCUACUUACGUGGUCACGAUUGACACGCACGGGGUCUGUUGUGAAUCCGAAAGGUCUCGCCUUUCAGGGAAAGGGUUAAAAAAUCCAUCCCAGAGGUACUUUCUGUUCCAAUGUCAAAAACUGCCUUUUGCUGAGAAUUCAACUAGAAACAAAGUGUUUCUAUCCUCCUAUCAUUUGGUGUCUGUCUCUUUCUUUCUCUUUCUCUCCUUCUCUUUCUCUUCUCUUCUCUUCCUCUUUCUCUUUCUUUCUCUUUCUCCUUCUCUUUCUCUUUCUCAAUUGGACAUGAUAUGAAAUUUUCGUUAAUUUGUCAAGCCAUUCUCUCCCAUGAUAUACUUUUUGUUGUUGUUGCUUCUCCUGAGAGUGUGUGAUUCACCCCAUCCUACAUCGGGCUGUGGCCGGGUAACGGGAAACAGGUGUUCCCUUCUACUUUUAAUAUGACUGAAAAAAACCUCGAGGAACUGUACAUAAGAAGCCCAGGAAAAAUCCUCAUAAAUGUGUCGGGGCCACUUUUCAUUCUUGUCCCUUUGUAUCAACUCUCUCGAAUCAUUCUUUGUUGCUGGGGUGGGAAGAAAAGGAAGCCACAGGACCGUCACACGCCCCUGGCUCAGAUCUGCCAGUCUCCCGCUCCCUCAGCUCAGAAAACCGCGCUGAUACUCGAAGUGUGGUGUCCAUGUGAGUUCGUUUCUAGUCUAUGUUUUUAGUCUAGUUUUUGACAAAAUGCGCUGGUUCUUAGGCGGGGAGUCUUUCAGGUUGAUUUAAGUUUGACUUUCAGAGCGGUCCAGGGUUGGAUGCUUCCAAUGGAGUAGGGGUGGGGUGGGGAGUAGAGAGGUGUCAGCUUCCUUGAUGAUCUUUGUUCAAUUGCUUAGAUAUAAAGAGGGACUUCUGGUGGGUAAGCUUGUUGGGGUAGCGUGUCUCCAUGUCGGGUGCUGUCAUUUACACGCAUCCUGACAGAGAGUAUAUGGCUUCGUUUCUAGCAAUCUAGCCAGAAGUUUUGAGGACCUCGGUGCAGGCGUUAUGAGGGUGACUUAGAGUCCGGGGCUUCACCAAUCGAGCCCUGCUGGAAGCAUGCAGACAGGGUGACAUCUGACGGCCAUCUUCCUGUGCCUUGGUAGGUGUCACGGACCAGAACAUCACCCUUAAAAUAAAAGCGCAUCUGUGCCGGGAAGCCAGAGGAGAUCAGCGUUUUUUUAUUUGGAUCAGUGUUGAGAGCGACAGAGCAGACUUGAAAAUGGGCGGCGGAAGCGAUCUACCCCCCAACUGUUUUGAGGGACCCCUCGGAGUCUGCCGUGAUGUGGUUCCCCACCCUCCCUGUGUCAUUUUUACCACCCUUCCUCCUACAGACACAGUUGCCUGGCUUUCUGCAGCCCUGAGACUGUCAAAUAUGACCUGAGAGCAAGGUUCCGGUCCUGGCGGCUCCUUUAGAAGACGUGUGACCUUUCUGCGUUUCGAUUUCAUCACCUGCAGAAAGAGGGGGUCUGACUAGGAGAACUCUAACAUCCUUUGGGGAUAUAACAGCUGAAGAGCUAUUUUCUCCGGUACCAACGCCCAUGGAAGCCAAGGGAAGGGAGCCCAUGCUGCCUUUCUUUGGAGUCCUUGGUCUGGGCUCUCAUGCAUGGACAUGGCCAUCAGGUGGCCUGGAAUCACAUUUACAAUGGAGACUCUGGUUCAGUAAGUCCGAGGUGGGGGCUGAGACAUUUGCUUUUCUGACAGCUGUCAGAUGAGGUAGCAACUUGGAACAGUAAGGCCUCGGGCAGUAGGCUAAGUGGAGCGCCGGGGUUGGUGUGGUUUCCUCAGCGCUGGGUGUCCACACAGCCCAGUGCGUUGUUGUUCGGUGUUUGAACAAAUUCAUGCCGGGAUGGGAGGGGGAGCAUUGGAGAGCAGGGUAAGCCACGGACAGCUGAUCCUGUGCUCAGGUCUCAUCGUCACCAUCUCCCAUAUUACUUCAUUUUUGUCUUUUUUUUUUCUUUUUAAAGAUUUUUUUGUUGUUGUUGUUUUUAAGCAGUCUCUACAUCCAGCGCGGGGGUCGAACUCACAACCCUGAGAUCAAGAGUCGCACGCUCUACACUGAGCCAGCCAGGAAGCAGGAGGGAGGCAGAGACUUAGGGCAGGCACGGGGUGGGAAGAAGCAGGUAUCUCUGCUUCACGUCUGUCUCCUGAUUCAUCAUUUGGAGACCAUAGCUCUCAAGCACAUACUCUUUCAUGCUUUCUUUCCUCCCCCUGUUGGUUCCUCUUUCAUGUCCAUUUCAACCACAGCCAAUUAUUUAGAGGGAGUGCAGGGUUCUGCACAGCGUGACUGUGGCUCAAAACACCACCGUUUUGUGGAGGGAGCGCUGGGCUGGGAGGGAAAAUAUAUGGGUGAUAUUCUGGCUGGCCCACUGACUAGGGCAGUGAAUGACGAUCCAUCAAAUGCUCUGAGCUCUGAAGUAGGAAGGACCCUUCCAGCCUAACUGUUCACAGGACAUAAUGUUUGUGAAGGUCUUACUCCACAUGUAGGUUAAUGUGAGUUUGAGUUUUCACUCUGCUGUCCCAGGGGUAGUCCUCUCUGGGGGCCAGAGAUCCUGCCCCAGGCUUCUCUUGCCACCCUGGGCUCUCUUGAGUAUGAACUUAGAGAAGCAAGUUCUCUCCUGCUUCCCUCUCUGUCUCCCUCCCUGCCUCCCUCCCUCUCUUUCUGCUUUUUUUUUUUUAAUUAAGUUUAUUGAUUUAUUUUGAGAGAGAGAGAGAGGUCAUGAGCGGGGGAGGGACAGAGAGAAAGAAGAAAGAGAAUCCCAAGCGGGCUCUGCACUGUCAGUGCAGAGCCUGAUGCGGGGCUCGAUCUCACGGACCGUGAGAUCAUGACCUGAGCCGAAGUCGGAUGCUUAACCGACUGAGCCACCCAGGCGCCCUGGAAAUGUUUGCUUUUGCAUGUAAUCUAUUCUGAGCACACAAAUUCCCUGAACUUUACUGAUAAGAAUCAACUUGGGUUCUUGAGAAGCUCCCUCCACCGUUUCCAGGCAGUUUCCCCGAGUCAGCGGGUCCCGGAGGGGUCAGGGGGCAGUGAGAAUCAAUCCUCCCGUCCUGUUCUCCUUUUCUCUGUCUUUUCAAAGACUUCCAAUUGGUUCUUAUUUUCAGAGAAGUUUAGGAAAGAGUGUUUGGUGCAAGGUUCCUGGUGUGGCUGCAUUUUGGGUCACCUGGGAAAAGUCCCGAUGUCUGGGUGACACUCCAGAUCAGAAAGGCUGGGGAUAGGACCCUGCAUCAGUAAUGUUUAAUAUCUCCCCAGGGCAUUCCCAGGUGAAGUCUGGGUUCAGAAGCUCUGGCUCCAUUUCUGACUGACUCACAUAGCCCACGGAAGAAGUCGGGGGAGCCCAUCACCUCGUUUGUAGGUCAGUGAUUCCCUAACGUGACCACACAUUAGAACCGUGCAGGCACCUUUUGAAACUCCUGAUGCCUAGGUCACACUUUAUACCAAUCAAGUCAGAAUGUCUGGGGGUGGGAGCCCGGCAUCAGGAUGUUUUAAAGAUCCUGGGUGAACCCCCUGGGCAGCAGAGCCCAGAUUCUAUGUGGAUGCAAGUUUCGGUGAUGAACCAUGUGGCUCAGGCCUUCAGCUUCGCUGCUACUGAGGAUAGGCUGUCUUUCCCCCGUGGUCUUGAAGCACCCCCAAAUCUGCUGGGGAGUUCUGUCCCAUCUUCACAGGGACUUCCUAGCAGCGGACCCCGUUAGCACCAAGCAGGAGAAGCCUCUGCCUAAGCGUGUAGCAUUUCUUCCUCUCCUGUAGACAACCACCUGCUGACCUAGGAGAGGGACUUUUCUUAGUAUACAGUGUGCUGCUGAAUUAGGGUGAAAUUCACAUGACGUGGUAAGUUUUCAUGGGCACAGCCACUUUAGUUGAUUUACCUACUAUCGAUGCCUGCUUUGGCAUUCUAACACCACGAGUCGUCAUGACAGAACCAAAAGCCUGCAAGGACUAAAACACUCACGAUAUUUUGGGGAAUCUUUGUCAUAACCCCAUGUAUGGAAAUUCUGAAGUUUCAACAUAGUUUAUUCUUAUUUUUUUCAUGACAUAACUUAUAAGCUCAGCUAGAUGAACGCAUAGGAUGGAAAAGCUAUGAAAAUUUGGAAACAGAAGAGUAGUGAGGGGACACUUGCCCUUCCCCUCGUGAGGGAGAUAGUACAUAUGUCACGGAGCUGUAUUAACUAAAGGAUGUGGUGCAGGUGCAGAAAUAAGCAGGUCAAUGGAAAAGACCAGAAGUUGAGAUCGAGGUGGCGUUUCAGGCCGCUCAGGAGGAGAGAGAUUCGUCCGUAGAAGGCGUUAGACACAUUUCAUUGAGACUGGCCGUGUAGAAAUCAGGAAGCUGGGGGGCGCCUGGGUGGCUCAGUCGGUUGACCGUCCGACUUCGGCUCAGGUCAUGAUCUCACCGCUUGUGAGUUCGAGACCCGCGUCGGGUUCUGUGCUGACAGCUCAGAGCCUGGAGCCUGCUUCGAAUUCUGUGUCUCCCUCUCUCUCAGCCUCACCCCCACUCAUACUCAGUGUCUCUCUCUCUCUCUCUCUCUCUCUCUCAAAAAUAAACAUUAAAAAAAGAAAUCAUGAAGCUGGAUCUCCUUCUACUCCUUUGAAAUACAUUCCAGAGGAAUAAAAUAUUUAAAUGUGGGGCGCCUGGGUGGCGCAGUCGGUUAAGCGUCCGACUUCA